rnacentral:pre_miRNA from 1 species
UCUUACGGAUGAGCAAAAAAAGUGGUUUCUUGAGAUGGAAUCUACUCCUAGUAAAGAUGCCUGGCAA